rnacentral:misc_RNA from 1 species
GCCAAAUGUGAAAACAGCUAUUUCAACAGAAGAAUCAGUAAAUUGGCAUUUGCCUAAGGCUAAUUAACUCAGGACUAUGUACGCAUUUUACUCUGAAAUAACCCUGAAGAACAGAGUUUUAGGAUCCAAAAGUUAGUGUAUUAAAAUUUCACGCGCUCAUACAAAUUACCUGGAAUCCAGAUCCAAAAGAAUUGACGACAAA